rnacentral:rRNA from 1 species
AGAGUUUGAUCCUGGCUCAGAAUGAACGCUGGCGGCGUGCUUAACACAUGCAAGUCGUACGAGAACUCUUUAGCUUGCUAAAGAUAGUAAAGUGGCGCACGGGUGAGUAACGCGUGGGUAAUCUACCUCUAAAUCUGGGAUAACAUUGCGAAAGCGAUGCUAAUACCGGAUAAUAUCUCAAAACCAUCAGGUUUUAAGAUCAAAAAUGGCCUCUACAUGUAAGCUGUUGUUUGGAGAUGAGCCCGCGUACCAUUAGCUUGUUGGUAGGGUAAUGGCCUACCAAGGCAACGAUGGUUAGCUGGUCUGAGAGGAUGAUCAGCCACACUGGAACUGACACACGGUCCAGACUCCUACGGGAGGCAGCAGUGAGGAAUUUUGCGCAAUGGGGGAAACCCUGACGCAGCAACGCCGCGUGAGUGAUGAAGGCCUUCGGGUCGUAAAGCUCUGUCAAGUGGGAAGAAACUGUAAAAUGUUAAUACCAUUUUUCACUGACGGUACCACUGAAAUAAGCCACGGCUAACUCUGUGCCAGCAGCCGCGGUAAGACAGAGGUGGCAAGCGUUGUUCGGAUUUACUGGGCUUAAAGGGCGUGUAGGCGUCUUGAUAAGUCAGAUGUGGAAGCCUUGGGCUUAACCCAAGAAGUGCAUUUGAAACUGUCAGGAUUGAGUCGUGCAAGGGAGGGCGGAAUUCCUGGUGUAGCGGUGAAAUGCGUAGAUAUCAGGAGGAAGGCCGGUGGUGAAGACGGCCCUCUAGGCAAUGACUGACGCUGAGGCGCGAAAGCGUGGGUAGCAAACAGGAUUAGAUACCCUGGUAGUCCACGCCCUAAACGGUGCGUACUAGGUGUGGGUGGCGAUAGUCAUCCGUGCCGUAGGGAAACCAUUAAGUACGCCGCCUGGGGAGUACGGCCGCAAGGUUAAAACUCAAAGAAAUUGACGGGGGCCCGCACAAGCGGUGGAGCAUGUGGUUUAAUUCGACGCUACGCGCAAAACCUUACCUGGGCUUGACAUGUUAGUAGUAGUGAACCGAAAGGGGAACGAUUCCUAGCAAUAGGAAAGCUAUCACAGGUGCUGCAUGGCUGUCGUCAGCUCGUGCCGUGAGGUGUUGGGUUAAGUCCCGCAACGAGCGCAACCCUCAUCCUCUGUUGCCCUUAACGGGGAUCUCUGAGGAAACUGCCGGCGAAGAGCUGGAGGAAGGUGGGGAUGACGUCAAGUCCGCAUGGCCCUUAUGCCCAGGGCUACACACGUGCUACAAUGGUAGAUACAGAGGGUGGCCAAGCCGCGAGGUGGAGCCAAUCCCACAAAGUCUAUCCAAGUUGGGAUCGGAGUCUGCAACUCGACUCCGUGAACCUGGAAUCGCUAGUAAUCGUGGAUCAGCACGCCACGGUGAAUACGUUCCCGGGCCUUGUACACACCGCCCGUCACACCACGAAAGUCUGCUGUACCCAAAGUAGGUGAGCCAACCAGCAAUGGAGGCAGCUUCCUAAGGUAUGGCCGGUAAUUGGGGUGAAGUCGUAACAAGGUAACC